GACGAACGCUGGCGGCGUGCUUAACACAUGCAAGUCGAACGGAAGGGCCCUGCUUUUGUGGGGUGCUCGAUUGGCGAACGGGUGAGUAACACGUGUGUAACCUGCCCUUGACUUUUGGAUAACUUCAGGAAACUGGGGCUAUUACCGGAUAGGAGCUCCUGCUGCAUGGUGGGGGUUGGAAAGUUUCGGCGGUUGGGGAUGGACUCGCGGCUUAUCAGCUUGUUGGUGGGGUAGUGGCUUACCAAGGCUUUGACGGGUAGCCGGCCUGAGAGGGUGACCGGCCACAUUGGGACUGAGAUACGGCCCAGACUCCUACGGGAGGCAGCAGUGGGGAAUAUUGCACAAUGGGCGGAAGCCUGAUGCAGCAACGCCGCGUGCGGGAUGACGGCCUUCGGGUUGUAAACCGCUUUCGCCUGUGACGAAGCGUGAGUGACGGUAAUGGGUAAAGAAGCACCGGCUAACUACGUG
rnacentral:rRNA from 1 species